GUUGCAGUUAAAAAGCUCGUAGUUGGAUUUCUGCGGGGGCGGGGCGGCCGGAUGCUUAUAGCAUCUCGAGCUAGCACUUCCCCUGCAUCCUGCCGCGAACCGUGCUACCAUUAGUUUGGUGGCGCCGGGGAUCGGCUCGUUUACUUUGAGAAAAAUAGAGUGUUCAAAGCAGGCCACACGCCUUGAAUAAAGUUAGCAUGGAAUAAUGAUAAAGGACUUCGGUUCUAUUUUGUUGGUGUUCGGGACUGAAGUAAUGAUUGAUAGGGACAGUUGGGGCGGUCCGUA
rnacentral:rRNA from 1 species